CCUACGGGUGGCAGCAGUCGAGAAUUAUGCACAAUGGGGGAAACCCUGCUGGUGCGACGCCGCGUGAGGGAAUGAAGGUCUUCGGAUUGUAAACCCCUGUCAUGUGGGAGCGAAUUAAAAAGAUAGUACCACAAGAGGAAGAGACGGCUAACUAUGAGCCAGCAGCCGCUGUAAUACAGAGGACUCAAGCGUUGUUCGGAAUCACUGGGCGUAAGGCGUGCGUAGGCUGUUUCGUAAGUCGUGUGUGACAGUCGCGGGCUCAACCGGCGGACGGCACAUGAUACUGUGUGACUAGAGUAAGGGAGAGGGCACCGGAAUUCUCGGUGUAGCAGUGAAAUGCGUAGAUAUAGAGAGGAACACUCGUGGCGAAGGCGGGUUCCUGGACGUUAACUGACGCUGAGGCGCGAAGGCCAGGGGAGCGAAAGGGAUUAGAUACCCCUGUAGUC
rnacentral:rRNA from 1 species